AAAUACUAACAGAUUUUUCAUAAAGAGUGCAUCUCUUAUUUCUCUCUCUCUCUCUCUCUCUCUCUCUCUAUAUCUAUAUCUAUAUAUAUGAUAGAUAGAGAGAGAGAAAUAAGAGAUGCACUCUUUAUGAAAACCUGUUAGUAUUUA
rnacentral:miRNA from 1 species